AAUCAACGCUGGCGGCGUGCCUCAGACAUGCAAGUCGAACGCGAAAGUUCCCUUCGGGGAGCAAGUAGAGUGGCGCACGGGUGAGUAACACGUAGGUAAUUUGCCUUCGGGUGGGGAAGUAACAGUCGGAAACGACUGCUAAUACCGCAUAAUGCAGCGGCUCGACAUCGAGACAGUUGUUAAAGCGGGGGAUCCUUCGGGACCUCGCGCCUGAAGAGAAGCCUGCGGCAGAUUAGCUAGUUGGUGAGGUAAUGGCCCACCAAGGCUACGAUCUGUAACCGGCCUGAGAGGGGCGGUCGGGUCACACUGACACUGACA
rnacentral:rRNA from 1 species